UUUAAUUAUCAUAUAUAAAAGUGAAAUACAAAAUAUAAAUUAAUUUUAGUUGGGGCAACUGGGAGGGAUAAAAAUCUUUUAUCAAAUCAUUUAUAAUAAUAUUUAUAUUUACGAUCCAAAUUAGUUAAUUUUGAACUUAGAAU
rnacentral:rRNA from 1 species